rnacentral:rRNA from 1 species
AGUGAACGCUGGCGGUAUGCCUAACACAUGCAAGUCGAACGGCAGCACAGUAAGAGCUUGCUCUUACGGGUGGCGAGUGGCGGACGGGUGAGGAAUACAUCGGAAUCUACUUUUUCGUGGGGGAUAACGUAGGGAAACUUACGCUAAUACCGCAUACGACCUACGGGUGAAAGCAGAGGAUCUUCGGACCUUGCGCGAUUGAAUUAGCCGAUGUCGGAUUAGCUAGUUGGCGGGGUAAAGGCCCACCAAGGCGACGAUCCGUAGCUGGUCUGAGAGGAUGAUCAGCCACACUGGAACUGAGACACGGUCCAGACUCCUACGGGAGGCAGCAGUGGGGAAUCUUCGACAAUGGGCGCAAGCCUGAUCCAGCAAUACCGCGUGAGUGAAGAAGGCCUUCGGGUUGUAAAGCCCUUUUGUUGGGAAAGAAAAGCAGCAGGUUAAUACCCCGCUGUUCUGACGGUACCCAAAGAAUAAGCACCGGCUAACUUCGUG